CUGAUCAGCCAUGCCGCGUGUGUGAAGAAGGCCUUAGGGUUGUAAAGCACUUUCAGGGGUGAGGAAGGGUAACUGGCUAAUAUCCAGUUAUCUUGACGUUAGCCCCAGAAGAAGCACCGGCUAACUCUGUGCCAGCAGCCGCGGUAAU
rnacentral:rRNA from 1 species